GAUUUGGGCUUACCUUUCUGUUAUUAGCGAAUCGCAUCGUUCGCCUUCUAAGGCUGAAUGGGGAAGGAGAGAUAGUAGUGAUAAGAAAAAGAUGGAUUGAAGACUAUUGUAAAUAAGAGUAGGACAAACGGCCAUUGGGAAAUACCCGUAGAAGUUGGUUGCUCCGGCUAAUUAAAUUUAAAGCAUAUUUGGUAGUGAAUUUCGUAAAUUGAAGUAGUUUCGGACACAGUUUCCAAAUCGUUGUAUCCAGUACCCAGUUCGCAUCGACGGUAUCCUAGAAGGGAAGAAAAUUGAAGUAAAUUACUCUGUGGUAGUCGAGCGAAAGUAGGCGAAGAAGUUGGAAAGUUGGAAGUGAAGAUAAGCUGUACGGAAGUGGUCUAGGGCGUAAAGGAGAAACCAAAUAUUUUUGAGCUGCCACUAAAUAAAGGUGUUUGCUACAAGGAAU